rnacentral:ncRNA from 1 species
UAGCCUUUUUAUUGGCCCUUAGCAAGCUUACACAUGCAAGCAUCCCCGCCCCAGUGAGAAUGCCCUCUAUAUCGCUACUCCGAUCAAAAGGAGCAGACAUUAAGUUCACUAAUAAGUAGCUCACAACGUCUUGCUCUACCACACCCCCACGGGACACAGCAGUGAUUAAAUUUAAGCCAUAAACGAAAGUUUGACUAAGCUAUGCUACAAGCAGGGUUGGUAAAUUUCGUGCCAGCCACCGCGGUCAUACGAUUAACCCUAGUCAAUAAAACUCGGCGUAAAGCGUGAUUAAGGGUACUUCUUUCAAUAAGACUAAGCUUAGGCUAAGCUGUAAAAAGCCCUAGCCAUAAUAAAACUAUUACACGAAAGUAGUCUUAACACUCCUGAGUUCACGAUAGCUAAGAUCCAAACUGGGAUUAGAUACCCCACUAUGCUUAGCCCUAAACACAAAUGCUUAACUAACAAAAUUGUUCGCCAGAGAACUACUAGCAAUUGCCUAAAACUCAAAGGACUUGGCGGUGCUUUAUAUCCCUCUAGAGGAGCCUGUUCUAUAAUCGAUAAACCCCGCUAUACCUCACCACCUUUUGCAAUAUCAGCCUAUAUACCGCCAUCUUCAGCAAACCCUAACAAGGCCACACAGUAAGCACAAAAAUACUGCAUAAAAACGUUAGGUCAAGGUGUAGCCUAUAAGGUGGAAAGAAAUGGGCUACAUUUUCUACCCCCCCUAGAACAAUAAAUCAACAACAGCUUCUAUGAAACUUUAAGCCUAAAGGCGGAUUUAGUAGUAAGCUGGGAAUAGAGAGCCUAGCUGAUUGG